rnacentral:lncRNA from 1 species
UUUUUUUUUUUUUUUUUUGGUUUUCAACCUGUUUAAUAUGUAAAACAGAAAUAACAGUAGGCAGAGGUUUGGUUUUAAUACAUUCUCAGAAGUGCUGGCCAUCCAGAGCAUUAUUCUGAACAGCUGAAUUAUCUAACUUUUGACUCAAAGAAUUUACAUUUCGAAAAUACCUAAUUUCAUGGGAUUAUGGAGACUAAUCUAACAUAAGAAUUAAAUAUAGAAAUUUAAAGGUUCCAAGCUAACAGGAGGGUAAGGACUAAUGUGACAGCAAUCAUAAAGCUUUUUCCCUUGUAACAGAAGUGUUAAUACUUUAACAUAAAUUAUCCAUUCAUCAUGGUGUUUAAAAACAGUCAAGCCUAAGUAAAUUCUUCGUACCAUCAAAAAGAUACACACACUGAAAAUCUGCUUAAACUUCAAAUUUUUUUCAUUUGACAGUUCUCGGCCAGGGCCACACACAUUUACAGGGAGCUUUUGCUUCUCAAGCUUAAUGCAAGUCUGGCCAUUGUUUUAUGUAAAAAUGAAACUAAAUUUAAAAUCUCACCAAACUAGGAAUCUGCUGUAGAAAAUCAGUGAAGACACCAGAGUAGCUCAAGCCAGUGGUUCUCAAACUACCUGGAAGGCUUGUCAAACAGCUGCACGCUUGCCCCAGCGCUGGAGCUUUGAACUCAGGAGGAUCGAGCAGGACCUGAGUGCCUGCAUUUGUAGCAGGUUCCCUGGGGACACAGAUGCUGCUAAACCCCAGGUGAGAACCACUGGCUAAAACACCUGUAAAAACUUAGCACCAUCUCCAUCUCUGCUCAGCAGUGGACGGUACCAGCUCUGUCAGUUGCCCUGCAGGGACAGUGGAGGUGGCCCCCAGGAGUAACACCGUUUGCUAUUUCCUAUGGUCAGAGGAGUCCUGGGCUCUCUGGGUCCCAGGGAGCAACUUCUCUGCCAGCAUGCAAUGUAGUUUACCACUAAAGCCAUAUACAGCACAUUUGAAAUGGUUAUUGAAUGGUGGAAAACUUACCCUAAGGGGCAGAAGGAAGUCAAAAGAAAGGAAAAGGCACGGUAAUUAAGUCGUCCUUGGAAAUGAUGAGGUUUCUUUUUCUUUCAAAUAACUUCACUUUAAUGUAACCUCAAGCCCAAACCUUCUGGGAGGUGAGCAGUCUUGGUGGCUCUGGGCGAGGGAGGAGGCAGGCUGAGCUCUGGGAGGGAUGGGUGGAGUGCUGGGUCUAAAAGCAGGGUUUUGGCCUUGAGCAGUCUGAAGACAAAAAGACUCCUCCAGUUCUAGAAGGAAGGUACCAUACUGAUCAUUUUGAAUUAAAGUUUCUUAAGAAAUGGCCAAGACAAGAAGGACACUCUGACCCUCCUAAGAUAGGAAAUUCAGGCUAAGGUGCUUGUAUAAAUGAAAGCUGUUACUUUUUUUUUAAUUGUUAUUUCCCCAAUACAAUUUUUUUUUUUCCUGCUGUACAGCAUGGUGACAGUUACACAUAUAUGUACACAUUCUUUUUUCUCCAAUUAUCAUGCUCCAUCAUAAGUGACUGGACAGAGUUCUCAGUGCUAUGCAGCAGGAUCUCAUUGCUAAUCCAUUCCAAAAGCAACAGUUUGCAUCUAUUAACCCCAAGCUUCCAAUCCAUCCUACUCCCUCCCCCUCCCCUUUGGCAACCACAGGUCUAUUCUCCAAGUCCAUGAGUUUCUUUUCUGUGGAAAGUUUCAUUUGUGCCAUAUGUUAGACAGGUGACUAGAUCAAGAAGAUGUGGUAUAUACACAUAAUGGAAUACUACUCAGCCAUUAAAAGAACAAAAUAAUGCCAUUUGCAGCAACACGGAUGGAACUAGAGACUCUCAUACUAAGUGGAGUAAGUCAGAAAGAGAAAGGCAAAUACCAUAUGAUAAAACUUGUUACUUCUUUAAUUUAUUACCCCAAGCUCAAACCUUAUUUAUAUUCUUCACUAAAUGGGCAACUAAAAUUUAAGUUUUAUUGUCUUGCCAAUUUUUCAGAAUUUUUUUGCUUCUCUGUCUAAAAGUGUAAAAGUUCCCUGUUUGGCCACUUCUUAGGUUUUGUCUCUAUGGACCCUCCAUGUGCAUGAAUUAAAAUUUAUUUCUUUUUCUCUAAUUAAUCUGCCUUGUGUUAAUGUUAUUAUGAGUCCAGCCACAAGAAUUCAAGAGGGAUAGAGAGGGAAAUUUCUCCCCCCUCCAACAUCCCCUUGCAAUCUCUUUAGCAUGAUAAACAGGCUGAUUACACGGUAUGUAAAGGUUCCCAAAGUGACUGUGCUCUUAAAAGGUAGACCUGGGGCUCGUACAGCAUCACUUUUGUACAUUUUAUUGCUUAACCUAAGUCAAAGGUUGGUUCAGAUUCAUUGUGGUGGGAGAGGACUACACAAGGAUGUGACUUCUGGGAAAUAUAGCCUCUUGUGAGCCAUCUUUGGAAGUUACCUGUCAUGUUCUCUAGGUGAUUCUUUUAAAAUAGAAAUCAUAUCAUAUAACUCUGCUCACGAUGCUCCAAAAUUUUUCCAUCACACUCAAAAUGGAUUUCAAAGUCCUUCAUAUGACCUACCAGAUCCUGCAUGAUCCUGUUCCUGGGUACCUUUCUAUGUUAUUUACUGUCACUCUCUGGAAAUGCCAAACAAGUGUACCGGUAUUCUAAAUUAUCUGGAAAAUUGGUCCUUAUGUCCUAAUUCAUCUUACAUGUAUAGUCUCCAAUGGGCUUUAGGAAAUGCACAUCUGAACAAAUUCACAGGUGCAAGUGGAUAAAAAAUAAGCAUUGUCCUACAGAACCAAGAGAGUCAAAAAUAUCAUUUCUAUUACCUUCUAGGGUUUUGUUGCCUGUAAAGGCCACCACAUUUAUCACACCUCCUGAACAUUGCAUUAACAGGCAGAGCGGGAAUUCUUUUUCUAGUUUUCAAUUUAAGAACCUACAGUAACUUAGAGAGAUGUACUAUGUGGUGGAGCCAGACCAUAUAUUCAACUUCUCUAAUUACUUGCUCAGUGUUCCGGCUACUUUCUCCUAAUAAAAGACCAAAAAGAAGAAGUUCUGAGUAUCAUACUCUCACAAAAGAAUAGAUAAACUACAUCAAUUUAUGCUUGUAGUAUGCAGUCAUAUCUCCUCAAUUCAGUUACUGGAUAAAAAUUAUAUUGCAAGGUGUUCCUUGGCAUUUUAUUUUCUUUAUUGUAGACAAAUAAAGACACGUGUUCAGAGACACAUGAAUGCAAAUUAUACUUUUCACAGAGCUACUCUUUUUAACGUGAGCCAGAGGGAGCGGAUGUUCUCCUUAUCCUGGUAUUCAUUCAUUUAUCCACACAAUCACUCUUUCCUUCAUUUGCUUGUUCAACUAUAUCUUUAAAGGCUCGGCAGCCCCUGUUUAUGCAAUGCUUUUGUAACUGGUGCCAACACUGCCAAAUAAAUAAAAGAUGGGCUCUCGCUGAAAUAAGUUUGAGGCCCAGCCAAUGAGAAAGAAAGACAUAGCAAUGCAAGAACAAAGCAAGAAAUUUAGCCACAAUGCAAAAAUAACAACAGUAAAUGUGGGUGUGUGAA